rnacentral:misc_RNA from 1 species
GAAGCGCGAAAUGUAGUGUGAAUCGCAGAACAUUGUGAAUCAUCGAAUCUUUGAACGCACAUUGCGCCUCUAGUAACUUGGAGGCAUGCCUGUCUGAGCGUCAUUUAAAACCAUAGACCCAAUUGGGUUUGUAUUGGGCUUUGCCUCUGGGCGUCGCCUCAAAGUCAUCGGUCUUGAACGCGGACGAGUUCCAUUAGGACAGACCGUGUCUAGACUUUAAACCUCUGACUUGACCUCAGAUCAGGUAGGAUUACCGCCUGAACUUAA